AUAGGAUGCAUGCAUUCUUCUAAGGUGAAAUAGUUCAAGUACUAAUUAGCGUGUUACGCUAUUUAUUUUCAAAGGAUAAAUUGCUCAAGGGAAAGUGAGGUCAAAGUGAAUAAUUGAAUUGACGAAUAAGCAUACCAGGUUGAACGUCAGGAGGAUGGAGUGAUGAUCGGAGUCGAUGUUGUUAAACAAUCAAGUUGAUCUCCCAACGGUUCAUGUCUUCAUACACGAAGUCGUUUAGUAAGGACUUAUUCCGCUGUGUCUUUGUAAUGUGAGAAUUGUAAAAUCUCACCAUCAACUCUGAUUUAUUUGAGGAGACGUUCAUUCUGUUUUCAAGACCAUGUAAUGAAAUACUCGGCUUCUAUGA